CCUGUAAGCCUGAGGUGGGUCAUUGGAAGUCAAGCAUCUCAGGUGUUCUCCCUCUGCAGAAAUCAACAACCUACAAGAAUCUUGAAUUUCCUGAUGAUGCAGUCUAACAAUCUGAAUGUAUUCAUCGAGUCUUAAAAUGUUGAACCUUGACGUUUUCUUUCGUAUCAGCAGCUCCCAAUAAAUAAUUGGAGUUAUGCAAUACCAAAAGACACAUGAAAAAGAAAAAAUAUUUAAGCGUGUUCUAAGCCCCUACCCAAUAUCAUAAACAGUAAUAAGUUAC